UACGGAGGGUGCGAGCGUUGUUCGGAAUUAUUGGGCGUAAAGCGCGUGUAGGCGGCUCCUUAAGUCUGAUGUGAAAGCCCCGGGCUCAACCUGGGAAGUGCAUUGGAAACUGGGGAACUUGAAUACGGGAGAGGGUAGUGGAAUUCCUGGUGUAGGAGUGAAAUCCGUAGAUAUCAGGAGGAACACCGGUGGCGAAGGCGGCUGCCUGGACCGACAUUGACGCUGAGACGCGAAAGCGUGGGGAGCAAACAGG
rnacentral:rRNA from 1 species